rnacentral:rRNA from 1 species
GAUGAACGCUGGCGGCGUGCUUAACACAUGCAAGUCGAACGAAGCACCUCUCCCGAAGAUUGACACAGCUUGCUGUAGAUUGAUUCAUUUGAGGUGACUGAGUGGCGGACGGGUGAGUAACGCGUGGGUAACCUGCCUCAUAGAGGGGGACAACAGUUGGAAACGACUGCUAAUACCGCAUAGUAAGAAGAAUUCGCAUGUUUUCUUCUUGAAAGAUUUAUCGCUAUGAGAUGGACCCGCGUCUGAUUAGCUAGUUGGUAAGGUAACGGCUUACCAAGGCGCCGAUCAGUCGCCGGCUUGGGAGAGUGAACGGCCACAUUGGGCCUGAGCCACGACCCAAACUCCUACGGGAGGCAGCAGUGGGGAAUAUUGCACAAUGGGGAAACCCUGAUGCAGCGACGCCGCGUGAGUGAAGAAGUAUUUCGGUAUGUAAAGCUCUAUCAGCAGGGAAGAUAAUGACGGUACCUGACUAAGAAGCCCCGGCUAACUACGUG